rnacentral:tRNA from 2 species
GGCCUGGUAGCUCAGCUGGUUAGAGCGCUGGCCUGUCACGCCAGAGGUCGAGGGUUCGAGCCCCUUCCAGGUCGCCA